CAAGAGCUGAUGCUCCCUUGCUUGUCUAAGAUUCAGUCAGUGACAGCAAGGGGAAAAGAAGGGGAAAAGAUGGAGGAAAGGUGCCUCUGACCCUGCAGUGCAAGGAGGGUGCUCACUGAAAUUGCCCAGUUGGACAUCAGCAUUGUCUACGUACUUCAUACCAUCCAUCAGGAGGAAUGAAUGAAGUACACAGCAAUAUAUCAGCUUGACUAAGCUCAAUAAAGCCAAAGAGAAGCAGAAAA